rnacentral:tRNA from 1 species
CUGAACUGGCAGGCCUCAAUCCUGCAAUCUCUUAGUUAACAGCUAAGCACCUAAACCAGCGGGCUUCAGUUCGCUUUUUUUUCUCGAAAAAAGCGAGAA